GAAGCUCUUCCAUGGAAACGGGACGCCAGGCUGCUCUCUGUCCCAGGGAGUAAACUAAAUGAGUUAAAACUGCUUGCACUAUAAAACAUUUGCUGUUUUAUUAUUGUAUUUAAUGGCAGACGUUAGCGGAAGCUCUAAACGUUUGUAGCUAGCAUGGCUAACAUGGCAUUAGUCGCCAGCAAGCUAACACUGGUAAAACAAAUAUGACCAAGCUAUUGCUAGAGUGCUUUGUAAGAAAGUAAUAUAACGUGCUAAAGGAUUUCAAGUAAGCAGGCAUAGUUUGAAAAGGUGGAAAAUGUGGAGAGGAGGAGGAGGAGGCCGAAGCUCUGCUCUGGAACGAGCAGAGCAGGCGCUGCUGUCAGCCAGGAGCAGGAGAGGAGACGCGCAGGCCUCCACAACCAAAACUCAGGUCUGCUUACAGGGUGUUUCAUCCCUCCACCAUGUUGCAACGAGUCGCUGUGUGUUUGCCAAAAUGUGAAACAAGAGUUCAGAUUCUUUAAAAAAAAAUGAGUAGAGGUCCUGCCUUUUCAUGUAUAAUAGUAUCAGGUACAAUUGUUAAGUUAAUGCAGUUGUAUUGUCACAAUUGUGCUUCUUUCUAGAGUUCUGUGGAUUCUGCUGGAUCUCUCAAACCUAGAUCUGCUCCCCCAAACACACACGCUUUAAUGUAUGACCUGAGUGACCUGUCCUCGGUCAGUUCAGCCUCUGAACCUAGAGGUCAUGCUGGCAGGUCUGUUAAUCCUGAAAAUGGCUACGAGAGAGGGGAUUCGAACAAGGAUGCCAGGCCUCAGAGUUCUCUGGGAGGAAGGAGCAGGUUCCUGAAGAAGGCUCCACCACCAACGACCAGCAGCCAGUCUCCAGUCAGCAGCAACCAAGUACAUGAACCAAGCUAUGUUUCAUCUUCCCAGCGGGGCUCCAGCCAGACCACAGCCUUAAGUAGACUUGCUGAAAUUGAGAGCCGCAUCCACAGCCGUAAGCAGGCCCAGGAACAGGUCAGACAAGGGACAAAACCUGCUUAUGAUUUCAACACGGACACAAGACUCUCACCACCUCCACUAGCCCCUACAAACCUACCUACAAAGUCCAGCAGUGACCAGAGCCCGAGGGAAAAUCGUUUUCUCAAGAAGAAAACCACUAGUGCUAUUGAAGGCACUAAUGCUGCUUCUGCUGCUCCGAAAAGUGCAGACGUAAGCGUCAGGUCCAGAGCUUGCAAUGCUGUAGACUUAUCAAGGGAGACAAAAUCCCUGAGAAUAAUGAACACUGUGAGUUUGGAAAGUGACGAAGAGGACAUGAGGAAACUCUUAGGAGACUCAUUUGAUUCAACAGGCUGCAGCCUCAUAAGACCUGAGAAACCCUCGUCUAUGAAGAAGCCAAAGAAGAAGUUUAGCAAAAGCAGUCAGCGUGUUCCCUCCACGCCUCCUCCUGCUGCUGUCCGUCCUCCAUCACCUUCCGUCAUGGCACCGCCUCACUCCCCCAGUUCUCCUUCUCGCCGCAGUUCUCCUUUUCGAUUCACCGGCCUGGCUCAGGCCCACUUCAGCCCCUCCAUGCUCUCUCCAGCACCCUCUCUUCCUGGUGUUUCCCCUACUCCUCCUCUGGAAGGACCUGGUUCCUCUCCUAGGGUGGAGAGUCCCGGGAGCUCCAUCUCCUCCGUGUCAGGCCGUGGUGAAGUGCUCUCUUUGGAGGAACUCUUCCCUGUGGGCCCUAUCUCUGAAGAUCUGCACAGUGAGAUGAGCUCAGUAUCUGAAGGUAUGAGGCAAGCAAUCUAAUGCUAUGUAAGAGCCCGAUCUAGUCAUCA
ensembl:lncRNA